UGGGGAAUUUUGGACAAUGGGCGAAAGCCUGAUCCAGCAAUGCCGCGUGUGUGAAGAAGGCCUUCGGGUUGUAAAGCACUUUUGUCCGGAAAGAAAUCCUUGGCUCUAAUACAGUCGGGGGAUGACGGUACCGGAAGAAUAAGCACCGGCUAACUACGUGCCAGCAGCCGCGGUAAUACGUAGGGUGCAAGCGUUAAUCGGAAUUACUGGGCGUAAAGCGUGCGCAGGCGGUUUGCUAAGACCGAUGUGAAAUCCCCGGGCUCAACCUGGGAACUGCAUUGGUGACUGGCAGGCUAGAGUAUGGCAGAGGGGGGUAGAAUUCCACGUGUAGCAGUGAAAUGCGUAGAGAUGUGGAGGAAUACCGAUGGCGAAGGCAGCCCCCUGGGCCAAGUACUGACGCUCAUGCACGAAAAGCGUGGGGAGCAAAACAGGAUUAGAUACCCUGGUAGUCCACGCCCUAAAA
rnacentral:rRNA from 1 species